AAUGCCCACCCAGUCCAAAUCAGGCUAAAAGACCCCACCACUUUUCCUUAUCAAAGGCAAUAUCCCUUAAGGCCUGAAGCUCAUAAAGGAAUACAGGAUAUUGUUAAAUAUUUAAAAGCUCAAGGCUUAGUAAGGAAAUGCAGCAGUCCCUGCAACACCCCAAUUCUAGGAGUACAAAAGCUGAAUGGUCAAUGGAGACUAGUGCAAGAUCUUAGACUCAUCAAUGAGGCUGUAUUUUCUCAGUAUCCAGUUGUACCCAACCCUUAUACCCUUCUCUCUCAAAUACCACAGGAAGCAGAAUGGUUCACGGUUCUGGACCUCAAGGAUGCCUUCUUCUGUAUUCCCCUUCACUAUGACUCCCAGUUUCUCUUUGCCUUUGAGGAUCCCACAGACCACACAUCCCAACUUAAGUGGAUGGUCUUGCCCCAAGGGUUUAGGGAUAGCCCUCACCUGUUUGGUCAGGUACUGGCCCAAGAUCUAGGCCACUUCUCAAGUUCAGGCACUCUGGUCCUUCAGUAUGUGGAUGAUUUACUUUUGGCUACCAGUUCAGAAGCCUCAUGCCAGCAGGCUACUCUAGAUCUCUUGAACUUUCUAGCUAAUCCUAAUAGG
rnacentral:lncRNA from 1 species